GUGCUUGCCUUGGCAGCACACAUACUAAAAUUGGAAUGAUACAGAGAAGAUUAGCAUGGCCCCUGAGCAAGGAUGACACACAAAUUCGUGAAGAGUUCCAUAUUUAA
rnacentral:snRNA from 1 species